AUUGAACGCUGGCGGCAUGCCUUACACAUGCAAGUCGAACGGCAGCAUGGAGAACUUGCUCUCUGAUGGCGAGUGGCGAACGGGUGAGUAAUGCAUCGGAACGUACCGUGUAAUGGGGGAUAACGUAGCGAAAGUUACGCUAAUACCGCAUACGACCGGAGGGUGAAAGCAGGGGAUCGCAAGACCUUGCGUUAUACGAGCGGCCGAUGUCAGAUUAGCUAGUUGGUGAGGUAAGGGCUCACCAAGGCGACGAUCUGGAGCGGGUCUGAGAGGAUGAGCCGCCAAACUCGGACUGAGACACGGCCCAGACUCCUACAGGAGGCAGCAGUGGGGAAUUUUGGACAAUGGGGGCAACCCUGAUCCAGCCAUGCCGCGUGAGUGAAGAAGGCCUUCGGGUUGUAAAGCUCUUUCGGCCGGGAAGAAAUCGCACAGGCUAAUACUCUGUGUGGAUGACGGUACCGGCAUAAGAAGCACCGGCUAACUACGUGCCAGCCGCCGCCGUAA
rnacentral:rRNA from 1 species